AACGAACGCUGGCGGCAUGCCUAACACAUGCAAGUCGAACGAGACCUUCGGGUCUAGUGGCGCACGGGUGCGUAACGCGUGGGAAUCUGCCCUUGGGUUCGGAAUAACAGUUAGAAAUGACUGCUAAUACCGGAUAAUGUCUUCGGACCAAAGAUUUAUCGCCCAGGGAUGAGCCCGCGUAGGAUUAGCUAGUUGGUGAGGUAAAGGCUCACCAAGGCGACGAUCCUUAGCUGGUCUGAGAGGAUGAUCAGCCACACUGGGACUGAGACACGGCCCCAGACUCCUACGGGAGGCAGCAGUGGGGAAUAUUGGACAAUGGGCGAAAGCCUGAUCCAGCAAUGCCGCGUGAGUGAUGAAGCCUUAGGGUUGUAAAGCUCUUUUACCCGGGA
rnacentral:rRNA from 1 species